GAGAUCAUUGAUUCUCCGAAAGAAAUUAGUAUCUGGUGAUUUAGAUGUGGGCCUCAGCUGUGGACAGAAGGCACCGAGAGAAGUCCAAACCCUUCAGGAUCACUAACACAGGCGUCUCUGCCAAGGUUUCAGGAUGUCUCGGCCAGGACCGGUGGAGCAAUAUUCCCCACCAUCAUCAGGCUGACGUUCCGGAGUCCGGUACCGUGUUUGCAGAGAAGGCCUCGGGGGAUCCACCACUGCAGAUGUGUACAGCUCAGAACUAGUGGAGAAAUAUCUGUCUCGCUCCGGGGAUGGACAUUUUCUUAUCCACAUAGCCAGAGGAGGCCCAGAGAGCAACCGUGAGUAUUGAGGUCUAUCUGGAAUGAGCUAGAUGUUCUUCUUAAGGACUUGUCUUGACUUGGGCUCCGAGGAGAGAGAGGCCAACCUAGUCGACCCAAACAUAACGCUUGUCAUCUGGGCCAUCGUUCUUGACCAACGAACGCUCGUGUUUUCAGGGGAGCCGAGAUGAGGGAAGGUCCCCGAAGAACGGAUUAGGUCACGACCGAUUGCUGGCCAUUCCACCGGACAUAGACAAGGCAGAAUUAGCACAGCCACGAGGAGCUACAGGGAAGAGCGUGGAUUUCCUGUCGCCUGUGACAUCUCCCUCGUCUCUGGCAUCGCCCACGGUUUACAGUGACUAAACCAAAACUGUUUAUUUUUCUACUCCGAUGGUGUAUGUACCUGUAAUACAUUUAUGUAUGAUAAUGUCUAUCUCCCACUCUAGCCUGUAAGCCCAGAGUGGGGAAACAAUGUGGUCUUCAUUAGUUACAGUGUACUCUCCCCAAGGCUGUGGACAGUGUAAGAGUUGAAUAAAAGUGAUGGAUUGGGCUUGAGAACAAUCA